rnacentral:rRNA from 1 species
GAUGAACGCUAGCUACAGGCUUAACACAUGCAAGUCGAGGGACCGGCGCACGGGUGAGUAACACGUAUACAACCUGCCCUUUACUCGGGGAUAGCCUUUCGAAAGAAAGAUUAAUACCCGAUGUACAGGCUGGGGAUGCGUUCCAUUAGGUUGUUGGUGAGGUAACGGCUCACCAAGCCUUCGAUGGAUAGGGGUUCUGAGAGGAAGGUCCCCCACAUUGGAACUGAUACACGGUCCAAACUCCUACGGGAGGCAGCAGUGAGGAAUAUUGGUCAAUGGGAGUUAGCCUGAACCAGCCAAGUAGCGUGAAGGAUGAAGGCUUAUGGGUCGUAAACUUCUUUUAUAUAAGAAUAUGUGUUAUAUGAAUAAGGUUCGGCUAACUCCGUGCCAGCAGCCGCGGUAAUAC